rnacentral:rRNA from 1 species
CCGCUGAACUUAGCCAUAUCAAUAGGCGGAGGGAAAAGAAACCAACAGGGAUUGCCCUAGUAACGGCGAGUGAAGCGGCAACAGCUCAAAUUUGAAAUCUGGCCUCUGCCCGAGUUGUAAUUUGCAGAGGAUGUUUCUGGCGCGGUGCCUUCCGAGUUUCCUGGAACGGGACGCCAAAGAGGGUGAGAGCCCCGUAUGGUCGGACACCAAGCCUGUGUGAAACUCCUUCGACGAGUCGAGUAGUUUGGGAAUGCUGCUCUAAAUGGGAGGUAAAUCUCUUCUAAAGCUAAAUACCGGCCAGAGACCGAUAGCGCACAAGUAGAGUGAUCGAAAGAUGAAAAGCACCUCGAAAAGGGGGUUAAAUAGUACGUGAAAUUGUUGAAAGGGAAGCACUUAUGACCAGACUUGGGCCGGGCGGCUCAUCAGGGGUUCUCCCCUGUGCACUCCGCCCGGCACAGGCCAGCAUCGGUUCUCGUGGGGGGAUAAGACCGUCAGGAACGUAGCACCCUCCGGGGUGUGUUAUAGCCUGGCGGACGAUACCCUCGUGGGGACCGAGGUUCGCGCUCCGCAAGGAUGCUGGCGUAAUGGUCAUCAGUGACCCGUCUUGAAACACGGACCAAGGAGUCGUCCAUUAGAGCGAGCGUUUGGGUGUAAAACCCGCACGCGUAAUGAAAGUGAACGCAGGUGAGAGCUUCGGCGCAUCAUCGACCGAUCCUGAUGUUCUCGGAAGGAUUUGAGUAAGAGUUUUAACGGACGGACCCGAAAGACAGUGAACUAUGCUUGUAUAGGGUGAAGCCAGAGGAAACUCUGGUGGAGGCUCGCAGCGGUUCUGACGUGCAAAUCGAUCGUCAAAUAUGAGCAUGGGGGCGAAAGACUUAUCGAACUGUCUAGUAGCUGGU